rnacentral:rRNA from 1 species
UACGGAGGGUGCAAGCGUUAUCCGGAUUUAUUGGGUUUAAAGGGUCCGUAGGCGGACUUAUAAGUCAGUGGUGAAAUCCUGUCGCUUAACGAUAGAACUGCCAUUGAUACUGUAAGUCUUGAGUAUAUUUGAGGUAGCUGGAAUAAGUAGUGUAGCGGUGAAAUGCAUAGAUAUUACUUAGAACACCAAUUGCGAAGGCAGGUUACCAAGAUAUAACUGACGCUGAGGGACGAAAGCGUGGGGAGCGAACAGGAUUAGAUACC